GUGUCUGGGUCGGUGAUCUUGACAGUGCGGGCCACGUUCCAGGAUACGUGAAUCAUGGGGACGAUGGAUUUGACCUUCUUCACUUCGUUCCACUCGAACCUCUCCAGGGCCAGCUGGUACUGAGGUCCGACAUUCCAUGCGAUGUUGUUGCACCAGCCAACGGCCUGAACCCAGUGAACAGUUCCAGCGUUGAUCCACACCAAGUCUCCAGGUCGCUGGAUGAAGCGGUACACUGGGAUGUUGGCUUUGUAGAGGUCCUCCAACACCGGCCACCAGGACCCGGUCAGAAGUCACUGAUGGCCUGCCAGUAGUUCUCAUGGACAGAGAACCACUCACAGUCUCCAGGGCCGAUGUUGAUGUUCACCGAGCAAAAGUUAUUGUUCUCCUGGUGACCUGUUGAUUAAUGACAGAAUAUCCUCUGUUAUAUAAAACGCUAUUUCAUUUUUUUUUUAUUAAGAACUAACAGAUCUUAAUUCAGAUGGUAACGUGUGUUUCAUUUUGUUUUAACUAAAGGUGUCUUCCACCCAUAACAGGCAUAAAAGAGUAGUUUACCUGGCGUUCGGCUCCCAGGAACCUUCAUGUAGAGCUGGACAGUGUUCAUGCCCAGGAUGGUGUGUCCGACAUGGGUCAGCAUGUUUCCACUGGAUGCUACGCGCAUAAACGCUGGCAGCUUCUGCAACUCCUGAAGCUGGGACUUCCACCUGAGUAGAGACGUCAACUUUCAUCUUUAGUAAUGUAUUUGUAUUUCUGUAUUGACACUUGACCACUAGAGGGCAAUGCAACUAUUUAGUGGCUUUCAAAUAUUAUGUAAUGUUGACCACCAUAUUUAGCUACACAAAUCACUAUUG